AUGGCGCGUACAGAGGGCUGCAAGCUAGCGAUAGUGAGCGAAUCCCAAAAAGCGCGUCGUAGUCCGGAUCGGAGUCUGCAACUCGACUCCGUGAAGUCGGAAUCGCUAGUAAUCGCAAAUCAGAAUGUUGCGGUGAAUACGUUCCCGGGCCUUGUACACACCGCCCGUCACACCAUGGGAGUGGGUUGCACCAGAAGUAGAUAGCUUAACCUUCGGGAGGGCGUUUACCACGGUGUGAUUCAUGA
rnacentral:rRNA from 1 species